AUGGAUCGCGCCGCCGCCGCCACCGCGGCCUUCUCUCGGGUCAGGCCGCUUGGGUCCGGCAAGCUGACGAUGGAUCCUCCCGCUUGCGCCUUCCCCGGGAGACGUCCGCCUCAGCUGCGGGGCCAGGGAAGAAGCGUCGUUAAGGACCAUGACCUGGCCGCCGGUGCCUUCCACCGGGGCGCUAGGUGGCUGCAGCGUGGGGGCGAUCGCCCCGCUGCGGCCUUCCCUCUGAGGUGGCGGCGAUCUCUCCGUCAGCUGGUCGGGCAGGACCGACACAGACUGUACCAGCUGAACCAGCUGGGGGAGGAAAGCGGGUGGAGCGGUGGACGCCAUUGCUGCGCGUGGCCGUCGAGGCAGUUCACUGUUCACCGUCUCGGUGAUCGCGGUCGAGAGCGAGAGUAG
rnacentral:rRNA from 1 species